rnacentral:sRNA from 1 species
AUUCGGGUUAUAUCUGAUAAGUGUGUAUUUUGCAUAUUUUGAGCAUCCAUUUGUCAUCACUUUAGCAUCAUAUCAUCACUGUUUUAUACCAUUUCUCAUCAUUCGUCAUCACUUUGCGUGUUUCGGAUAGAUUUGCAUACAUAUUGCAUAUUUGUGUUGAUUUCAGGUGAUUUGGAGCUGUUGACGAGCUAAUUGGAAGAAGCGGACCUGAUCAUGUCAAACCACUCGACCCCCAGGUCGAGUAGACACUUCACGACCUCAACAGAACACUCGAUCCCCUGUUCGAGUAGUGUCCUUCACCAUUUCACCUCAUUACUCGACUCCCUGGCCGAGUACCACCACGAGAAACACUCGAUCACAUCACUUGACCCCGAGGCCGAGUGUCUUCACCUCCACAACCUGACCAUCACUCGAUCACAUCACUCGACCCCGAGGUCUAGUGUCUUCACCUCCACUAACUGAUCAUCACUCGAUCACACCAUCUACCUGGAAGUCGAGUAUUCACCAUCACCACCACUCGACUACAUACUCGAUGGCGAGCUUCAGAGUCUUCUCCAUUCCGCACUCAACCAGACACUCGAGCACAAGGAAGAAAAAAAGACUCCAGCUUAUCACUCGACCUCUCACUCGACCAUCUGGGUCGAGUACUGUUCUUAAUCCGUCCCAAUACUGCGUCGUUUUAAGUAUUAGGGUUUCGGAAAAUUUUGCUAUAAGUAGCAUGUACUUUACAUUUUCGAGAACAAGUUUUUAUCUAGUUUUAUUCCGCAGACAUUGUGUUCUAGACCUUUUGUAAUCCGGAUUUCUCUUUAUAUAUUCAGUAUUCAGUAUUUGUUCUUGAUUUCAUUUACUGUUAUUCAUCCUGUUAUCAUUUUGCUAUUACAUU